AUUGAACGCUGGCGGCAGGCCUAACACAUGCAAGUCGAGCGAGCGGCGGGCGGGUGAGUAAUGUCUGGGAAACUGCCUGAUGGAGGGGGAUAACUACUGGAAAAGGUAGCUAAUUCCGCAUACCAUCAGAUGUGCCCAAAUGGGAGUAGCUAGUAGGUGGGGGAAAGGCCUACAAGGGCAACGAUCCGUAACUGGUCUGAGAGGUUGAUCAGCCACACUGGAACUGAGACACGGUCCAGACUCCUACGGGAGGCAGCAGUGGGGAAUAUUGGACAAUGGGCGAAAGCCUGAGCCAGCCAUGCCGCGUGUGUGAAGAAGGUCUUCGGAUUGUAAAGCACUUUAAGUUGGGAGGCGUUACCAACACAAUAAGCACCGGCUAACUUCGUGCCAGCAGCCGCGGUAAUAC
rnacentral:rRNA from 1 species